rnacentral:rRNA from 1 species
UACGUAGGGUGCGAGCGUUGUCCGGAAUUAUUGGGCGUAAAGAGCUCGUAGGCGGUGUGUCACGUCGGCCGUGAAAACCUGCAGCUUAACUGUGGGCGUGCGGUCGAUACGGGCAUCACUGGAGUUCGGCAGGGGAGACUGGAAUUCCUGGUGUAGCGGUGAAAUGCGCAGAUAUCAGGAGGAACACCGGUGGCGAAGGCGGGUCUCUGGGCAGUAACUGACGCUGAGGAGCGAAAGCCGUGGGGAGCGAACAGG